GCCUACAGUAAAAAGACUAGUAAAAAUACUAACACAUAAUCAUGUAGGGUUCCUGGGAACCCCAUAGAGAGGAAGAAAGUAUAUAAUAGACUUCGGUGUUUUCGAAACCUGAGUUUACAUCUCUAAUUUCUUCUCUUUAGCUGUAUAUUCUUUGAGAUACUUGAGAUCUUUCUGGUUCAUGCCCUCAUCUGGAAAAUGGAAAUAAUAACAUCUCUGCAUGGAGAUGACAAAGUGUGGGUACAAUGCCUACCACACUGUAGCUACUCAAGAAAUGGAAGUCACAAUCAUUCUCAUGCCACCAGCCUACUGAGCAGUCAAUGUUCUGGUGAUGUUCUGCAUCCAGACCAUCUUUCAAGAACUGAAUGGUUACUAGACCAUUCAGUGACAAUAGCCAGAUAGCCAGAUGAUACCAGCGGAAGACAACAGCCAGGUGAUACCAGAGGAGUUAAUAUUAACAAGUAUUAUUAACAAACUUUUAUCUGCCAUUUGAUUGCCUUCCUCCCAAGUUGCUGCCUGUUAAGACUCAGAGUCCUCUGCCUUGUUACUUCUCUACAAAUGUACUGUUUUGUUGAUGAUGCUAUAGAAGCUGGAAUUCAAAGCCACCUCUUUGAGAACUAUUCAUUCCUGGAUGUCUCCCAUGCAUUUGUGAAAUAUAUACAUUAAGAAACUUUUCUUUAUUUUUCUCUUGUUAAUCUGUCUUUUGUAACAGAGUCCAUUCCAGUUAUGAACCUAUGGGUAUUAUUAUUUUC
rnacentral:lncRNA from 1 species